UGCCAGCCGCCGCGGUAAUACGAGGGGUCCAAGCGUUAAUCGGAAUCACUGGGCUUAAAGGGUACGUAGGCGGCCUUGUAAGCAUCUCGUGAAAUCCCACGGCUCAACUGUGGAAUUGCGGGGUAAACUGCAAGACUUGAAUACGGUAGAGGAGAGAGGAAUUCCUGGUGUAGAGGUGAAAUUCGUAGAUAUCAGGAGGAACACCGAUGGCGAAGGCAUCUCACUGGUCCGAUACUGACGCUGGGGUGCCAAAGCGUGGAGAGCAAACAGGAUUAGAUA
rnacentral:rRNA from 1 species